GACACAACAUCCAUGACUACUAAAUGUUCUUGCAAGCUUUUUUAGUCCAAGGGAAUUGUGUGCCGUCACAUUAUUAGGGUAUUGAGGAGUGCGAAAAUAAAUGAAUUGCCAAGCCUUUAUAUUCUUAAGCGAUGGCAGAAAAAUUGCAAAAGGGACAUUGUCUAUGAUGGGGAAGGGAAUGUGCUUGAAGAAAAUUUAGCAGAUCCGAUUGACAUUGCUGUGAAAAGGAAGAUAGUUGUUGUGAGGGACAAGCUAGAAGAUCUCAUACAAAAAUCCAAAUGCUCCAUGGAAGGAAUUGAAUUCCUGCACAAUAGUUUGUGUGGCAUUGAGUUGGGUUUAGCCCAACUAGUUUCGACCGUACCAUGCAAUACACAAGAAAAUGAGGAGUCGUGUAUUAGGAGUGUUAUUCCAAAGGAUGUUACCAUCCUCACACCUAAGGAUAUCAAUGCAAGGGGCACAUGCUCUAGAAUAAAAGGCCAUAGGGAUGGUGCGAGGAGUGGAUCCGGUGAGAAGAGAAGGCCUGGAAUUAAUCAAAAAGUCGCGCGCAAAUGCAGCAUUUGUAAGGAAAUGGCGUUUCAUGAUGCAAGAACAUGUUCUAAGAAACAAAAAACAAAACAGUAGAGGUAGGUCGAAUUGAUCAAGUCUAUAAGAGUCCAACCUCUCCCAGCAGGAAGCUCGAUUACCAGGAAGCACUAACACAAGGCAGAAUGAUAGAUAGUUUUGGUCUUGUACCAGCAAGACGCUUGUUGGGCGAUGAUAAUUUCAGUUUUUACCACUUGGUCUUAUCGGCCAUAUAUUGAAAAUGAUCUGUAUGUUUCAUGUACUCAUGUACUCAAAUGCUUGCUGAGCACUAAUAAAUUCAGUCCUUAAUU